rnacentral:rRNA from 1 species
CCCUACGGGGGGCAGCAGUAGGGAAUUUUCGUCAAUGGGCGCAAGCCUGAACGAGCAAUGCCGCGUGAACGAGGAAGGUCUUCGGAUCGUAAAGUUCUGGUGGAGGGGAAAAAGAGCGGAGAGAGGAAAUGCUUUCUGAUUGAUAUUACCCUUCGAGGAAGUCACGGCUAACUACGUGCCAGCAGCCGCGGUAAUACGGAGGGGGCGAGCGGUAUCCGGAAUGAUUGGGCGUAAAGGGUGCGUAGGCGGCCUGCUAAGUCUGGAGUGAAAGGUACCGGCUCAAACGGUACAGGCUCUG